rnacentral:tRNA from 1 species
UCCUCGGCCAGUAUAGUGGUCAGUAUCCCCGCCUGUCACGCGGGAGGCCGAGUUCGAUUCCUGCCGGGGAG